UUGCACCCAGAAGUCUUAAAUGAACUAGCCGAAGAGUGCUCUGAGCCACUCAAGUUAAUCUUUAACAGAUAUUUGAAAACUGGGAAGAUCCAAUGGAUUGGAGGACUGGCAGUGAAGCGCCAAUGUUUAAAAAGAAUGACCCAGGGAACUGUAAACUGGCUAGCCUGACAUCGAUCCCAGGGCCGGCUCCAGCUUUUUUGCCGCCCCCAAGCAGCGAAGAAAAAAAAGAAAAACCCGAUUGAGCUGCCACCAAAUUGCCACCAAAGAGGAAGAGAGGGAAUGAAGGACUUGCCGCCGAAGACCUGGACGUGCCGCCCCAAUAAUGCACCGAGUGCCACCCCUUUCUAUUGGCCGCCCCAGGCACCUGCUUCCUUCUCUGGUGCCUGGAGCCGGCCCUCUCUCCAUGGGAUGGAACCAACAUGGCCUACAAAAGGAAAACAAUAAAUCUGCUGUUGAUGCUGAAA